GAAGUGUAUAACCUUGGGCAGAUCGUUUAACUUCUCUCUGCUUUACAUUUACAAGCGGUAAUACAAAGAGACAGGAUUAUAUGGUCUCCAAGGUCCCAUCCAGCCCAUUUAACACAGCGUUGUGGCUCUGGAGACCUGGAAGCACCACUAACUGUUCUCCUGAUUUUCUGAUGCUCAGCCACAUCAACCUGUCAUGCUAGUUGUGAGGAGAAGUCAAGGACAGUGACACAGCCAGCCAGUCUGAGGGGUUUUCCAUCAUCCUGAAGGAGUUGCCCUAUCCUGCUUUUCACUGGAGGGGGCAUGGAUGGGUAGGUAAACACACCUGCUGUGAAGUUUCUAGUUCUAUCCUCCCGCAAGGCCUUCAGGGAUAAGUGUGUUAGAAGAUUGGUCAGUAUCAUUUGCCAACUUGAUGUCUCUUCCUUUUUUAAUGAUCAUUAGUUUCCCCACUGUUUCCUGUCACAGGAUUCAAUUUCACUCCACAUUCAUCCUUUCUUACUGGGCACUGAUGUUGAGAGCAUCAGUCAGGGUAUAAUGUUAUGUUGCAGUAACAAACACCCUCGAUAUCUCAGUGGCUUAAAAUGACAAAGAUCUUUUUUUUGUUUGUUUUGUUUAUGCUCUAUAUCACCCAGGGACCCUGGAUGACAAAGCAGUCACCUACUUGAACACUACUAAUUAUGAUGUCAGAAAGAGGAAAGUUUGCAGAGUUUUGUAUUGGCAAUCAAACAUUCAGCCACAGGUCACAGUCUAGAACCAGACACAUCAGUGUCCUGAACUGCAAAGUAGCCAGGAAGCAGCAUCCCAUAACACAGUCCUAUGUCCACUGCUUUGGAGGUCUGGAAUGUAUAAUUGGAGUAGACAUUCUCAGCAGCUGGCAGAAACCCCACAUUUGUUCCAUGACAUGUGGAAUGAAGGCUACGAUGGUAGGAAAAGAUAAGUGGAAGCUGCUAAAACUGCCUUUACCUUGAAAAAUAUUAAACACAAAGAAACACUACAUUCCUGGAAAGACUGCACCAUCAAGCACUUGAAAGACUCAGGGAUGGGGUGAUACUUAUUAUGUUCUCACUCAACUUGCCUGUGUGGGAGUCAGAUGAAUCUUGGAGAAUGACAGUGGAUUAUUAUAAGCUUAACCAGGAAUUUCUAUUCUUACAGCAGAAAUAGACAUUUGUAAUAAGCUUUGGCUCACAGUCAGGAUUGCCAUUGCCACUGCAAAACAGGCAAAUUGAAUUGAAGCAGCUAAAAAAACCUCAGGUUUUGGUGAAGUUUGCAGGUUGGAUUACCAGCAGCUACUGCAGAGAGAAGUUGGGAUUGCAAAUACGGCAUUUGUUGACACUGAGCAUUGUUUAAUGCCCUGUAUAGACCAUCAUACAAACCAUGUCAGAAUUCCUAGUCUUUUACUUCUAAAUUUUAUGACAUCGUGUGAAAUUUAGAAAAAUAUAAGCUGUUUAUUUUCUUGAUGAAGAUAGGUGAAGAAAUACAGAAAAGAAUUAAUGAAAGCAAACCCCAACUUUUAGAUUUGGACACACCUUUGCUAAAAACUAUCAACAUUUUCCCCUUGAAAUUCUGAGUGGAAAGAUAUGUGCUUCCCUAAGUCAGGAGCUGUAUAUGCACCCCCCACCCGAAACAUUUUUUGGGCAAAUGGAAUCAUUAAAGGAAUGAGAGGUAUCUACUCUUCAGUUCCCACUCAUUGGCACAAACAGAAAACACUACUGCAGCUUUCAGAGGUGAAAGCUACUGUCUUCAAGGUGGAGACAAGAG